rnacentral:rRNA from 1 species
UACGAAGGGGGCUAGCGCUGCUCGGAAUCACUGGGCGUAAAGGGUGCGUAGGCGGGUCUUUAAGGCAGGGGUGAAAUCCUGGAGCUCAACUCCAGAACUGCCUUUGAUACUGAGGAUCUUGAGUUCGGGAGAGGCGAGUGGAACUGCGAGUGUAGAGGUGAAAUUCGUAGAUAUUCGCAAGAACACCAGUGGCGAAGGCGGCUCACUGGCCCGAUACUGACGCUGAGGCACGAAAGCGUGGGGAGCAAACAGG